AACGAACGCUGGCGGCGUGGAUAAGACAUGCAAGUCGAACGGGAUUACUUCUAGUAGCAAUACCGGGAGUAAUUUAGUGGCGAACGGGUGCGUAACACGUGGGCAAUCUGCCAAAAAGUGGGGGAUAGCUCGCCGAAAGGCGAAUUAAUACCGCAUGUGGUGAAGGGAGACAUCUUUCUGAAUCCAAAGCCGGGGCAACCUGGCGCUUUUUGAGGAGCCCGCGGCCUAUCAGCUAGUUGGUGAGGUAACGGCUCACCAAGGCGAUGACGGGUAGCUGGUCUGAGAGGACGACCAGUCACUGGAACUGAGACACGGUCCAGACACCUACGGGUGGCAGCAGUCGAGAAUUUUUCUCAAUGGGGGAAACCCUGAAGGAGCGACGCCGCGUGGAGGAUGAAGGCUUUCGGGUUGUAAACUCCUGUCAUUUGGGAACAAUGCGCAUUUAUUAACUGUAGAUGCGUUGAUAGUACCAGAAGAGGAAGGGACGGCUAACUCUGUGCCAGCCGCCGCAGUAACAC
rnacentral:rRNA from 1 species